rnacentral:misc_RNA from 1 species
GAUGAAGAACGUAGCGAAAUGCGAUACGUAGUGUGAAUUGCAGAAUUCAGUGAAUCAUCGAAUCUUUGAACGCACAUUGCGCCCCUUGGUAUCCCGAGGGGCAUGCCUGUUCGAGCGUCAUUUCACCACUCAAGCCUGGCUUGGUGUUGGGCGACGUCCCCUUUAGGGACGCGCCUCGAAACGCUCGGCGGCGUGGCACCGGCUUUAAGCGUAGCAGAAUCUUUCGCUUUGGAAGUCGGGGCCCCGCCUGCCGGAAUACCUACUCGUAAGGUUGACCUCGGAUCAGGCAGGGAUACCCGCUGAACUUAAGCAUAUCAAUAAGCGGAGGA